rnacentral:rRNA from 1 species
UUCCAGACUCCUACGGGAGGCAGCAGUGAGGAAUAUUGGUCAAUGGGCGCGAGCCUGAACCAGCCAAGUCGCGUGAGGGAUGACGGCCCUACGGGUUGUAAACCUCUUUUGUCGGGGAGCAAAUUCCGUUACGUGUAACGGAGUCGAGAGUACCCGAAGAAAAAGCAUCGGCUAACUCCGUGCCAGCAGCCGCGGUAAUACAUAGGGAGCAAGCGUUAUCCGGAUUUAUUGGGUGUAAAGGGUGCGUAGACGGGAAAUUAAGUUAGUUGUGAAAUCCCUCGGCUUAACUGAGGAACUGCAACUAAAACUGAUUUUCUUGAGUACUGGAGAGGAAAGUGGAAUUCCUAGUGUAGCGGUGAAAUGCGUAGAUAUUAGGAGGAACACCAGUGGCGAAGGCGACUUUCUGGACAGUAACUGACGUUGAGGCACGAAAGUGUGGGGAGCAAACAGGAUUAGAUACCCGAGUA